CUUUUAUGAAGCCCGUCGGCUUUCGAACAAUGGUUAGAUGAAGGUUGCCUGGAACGCAGAAUUGAGAGCUAAUUACAGCAGUACCGUUCUGCCUUAGAGAUUAUGGUAUAUAGCCUGUGCCUAGCUUAGUAAAAAAGCAUCAGAUCGACUACACAUUGAUAUCAAGAUGAAAGGUAUUGAUUCAUGCAUGUAUUUGGGGGAUUCUAUCAGGGUCAGGGAAGCUGAGGGUGGAUGCUGAGAGCUGCCUUGGCGCCUCAGAAGGAAAAGAAUAAUUUCGUUGUCCUCGAAAGGUUAGAAUAGAAAAAAGAAAUAUGUUAGAACAGAUUGAAGAGAUUUUCUUUUUCUUUUCCUACCUUUCUUCUUCUGUUGCUAAUAGCUCAAAGGCAAAAAAAGGAGAAGGCUAUUUUU